rnacentral:rRNA from 1 species
GACGGAGGAUGCAAGCGUUAUCCGGAAUGAUUGGGCGUAAAGCGUCCGCAGGUGGCAAUGUAAGUCUGCUGUUAAAGAGUCUAGCUCAACUAGAUACAAGCAGUGGAAACUACAUAGCUAGAGUACGUUCGGGGCAGAGGGAAUUCCUGGUGUAGCGGUGAAAUGCGUAGAGAUCAGGAAGAACACCGGUGGCGAAGGCGCUCUGCUAGGCCGUAACUGACACUGAGGGACGAAAGCUAGGGGAGCGAAUGGG